AUUCUCAGAAGAUUGGAAUGACAUUUGUGGGUGAACUAUCCCUAAUGGCUAAUGAGCUUUAAUGAGUGGAUGUUGUCCAGUUCUAAGCCAUUUAAGCCAUAAAUACAAGCCAUGCAAACAUGACAAAUGUAAAAGACUUGUGUAAUGUUACCCCAUUAAUGCCUGAAUAUAGUUGUUUUUAGCUCUCGGAUGUCUUUGUGAAUUCCUGAAAACAGGCCUAUGCAAAGCAAAGAUGCCAUCCCUGUAUGAAAGCAUUUUAGCUCACUGAAAUUCAAGCUUCAAAAUCAGAUCUUUAUUUAACCCAAGUAAUGAUAUGCAAAUGUUCACCAUCCACAUGAGAGAAUAAGAGUGUCAGUUUCCUCCAGCACAGGGGCAGUCCACGAACACUAGGAUAAAGCUGUGUGAUUUACUGCCUGAUUCUGAGAUCAAUCAUGAGUCAAACUCUACUCAUUUUAUUUGCCUUUUUGCCAUAUGUUUCUGGCAUCUCACUGAGCUCGUCUCCUGCACAGACUAAAGCUCCUGGUCAGUCGGUGAGGUUGUCCUGUCAGAUCUCUGGAUAUGCCCUCACAGACUAUGGCACAGCUUGGAUCAGGCAGCCUCCUGGAAAAGCCUUGGAGUGGAUCGGGAUCAUAUGGGGCAGUGGAUCAAUAGACUCUGGGAAUUCCUUCAAGAGUCGCUUCACUAUUUCCAGAGACACGGGCCGAAAUGAGCUGUACUUAGACAUCAGCAGCCUGCAGACUGAAGACACAGCUGUGUAUUACUGUGCAAAGACAGACACAGUGGAUCAGUUCAGUGUGAGAAACUGACAAAAACAGAUCUGCAGCUCAUCAACACAGUUAUGAACACACAAUGAAUGACCUGCUUCAUGUUCAAGAUCACAGGAUAUUGAACAAAGUCCAUUUUAGGGACAAGAACUACACCACCUCCCUAUAAUGCU